rnacentral:tRNA from 1 species
GGGGUUGUAGCUCAGUGGUAGAGCACUUGCCUCACACGCAUCAGACCCUGGGUUUGAUCCUCAGCACCACA